rnacentral:lncRNA from 1 species
UCAACUGCACAAGUACAGUCCGGAGUCCAAGGCUCCAGUCACUCUUCUUGCUCCAUCCCUUCCCCUGAACUUCUCCAGCCCAAGGGCUUCCCUUCCCAGCUUCCCCUUCUUACACAACCCUGGCAUUUCAGCUCUCUCUGAGUGCUUCCUCUCCCCUCCCUUCACUCCCUCCCCCCUCUCGCUCUCCUCUCCUCCCCUCUCUAUCUCUUCUAUCGCUCAACUCCCCCACCCCACGGGCAGGUCCAGUCUGCUGGCCAUGAUCAGUCUACUUUUUCUCUCCCUGCUCUGGACUCUUCCAGGUGCCUCUGGCUGUUCUCUCCCUCCCCUCGCACCCACCAUAAAAACCUUCUUUCUGGGGAAAUAUGGAAGUAGGACAACAUUCGAAAUGUAAACAAAUAAAAUAUUUUAUAUUAAUAUUAAUAUUUUUUUAAAAAGCCUUCUUUUCAACCGUAUCCUGGAGUUGUGUGUCCUUAUUUCAUUCAGACCCAUCUCCCCACUUCGAGGGCUUACCCUAGAUUGCCACUGUAUUGAACAUUGGGUUCAACUGUAUUCCUAUUUUAUCAGACUUUCCAGGGGAUUUCUAGCAUGUACUUGGCUUGACUUGUAAGGGAAAAUGAAUUAUUUAGUAGAUCCCGCCCUUGAUUCCAUUUUUCCUCAAAAUCUGGACAAGUGUUCAAAUGGCUUAUUAAAAAGCAAGAACCUAGGGUAGAGGAGAUAGAUUAACUAGUACAGCGCUGAUCUAACGUGCAUAGAGCCCGGGGUUAGAUUCCCCAGGACUGGGCAGAGUGGUCUUAAACUUUAAUAGCUCAAUAACAAAAUUACAAUUCUAUAUUUUAUAACUAUAAUCCUAGCAUUGGGGAGGUUGAGGCAGAAGGGUCAGAAAGAAUUUCAAGGUCAUCCUCAAGUAUGAGUGGAGUUGGAGGCUAGCCUGGGGUACAAGUAACCUUGUCUCACACGCCAAAAAGAAAAAAAAAUCUUCAAAUCCCCACUUUACCUCUUACAUUAAGAAGAGGAAAAUAAUGAGCUCCCAGUUUAACAAUGAUCUUCUUAACCAUUAUAAGCAUCACAACUAGUUACCAGCCGGGUGCUACCUACAUAAUCAAAAGUCCCAGUUCAAGGAAAAAUUUCAAAGUGAAGGAGACUAAACAAUUGAUGGUGAUAACAUCAACUAGCGUGGCCUAACGACAGGGUUUGUUAUGUGCUAUCAAUCUGAUGAAGUGCUUCCUACACUUAAUUUCUACUGGCGACCCUGAUAAGAAGACAGUCAUGCCUUUAUUUUAAAGAAGAGGAAGCUGAGAGGGGUCAGAUUUCCUCCCAGAUGUGGUAAGCAAAGCCCGGGGCUGCAGGAGAAACCACCAGGAGCUCCAGGUGAAGGGCAAAGGUGUGGCGGUAAGGGGUGACCUUGGGGAUGAAGGAAUCAGCUGCCAGCCCAAGUUUGAUUCCUGGGAACCACAAGGUGCAGAGAAAGAACCCACAGCACAAAGUGUCACAUGUGCACCCACAUGUGUGCACAUAACAUGCAUAUAUGGAAGAAAAGCCUUAAAGGGGUGGGGAGGAUUAUUGGGGGCUGGAGAGAUGGCUCAGUGGUUAGAAGCACUGGCUGCUCUUCCAGAGGUCCUGGGUUAGGCCCCGUGUGGCUGCUCACAACUGUCUGUAACUCCAGUCCCAGGGGAUCUAACAUCCUUACUCACACAUAUACACACAUACAGGCAAAACACUGAUCCGCAUGUUACAUAUAAGAGGUGUUACUAAGACGUUGGCAUCAAAGCCAAGUUGUCUUAAGCUUGAAGUGCAGGUCUGCUGUGAAUUAGCCAUGUUAAUUUAUGCAAACACCUCAGCUGCAUAACCUGUGAGGCGGGUAAAAUACUACUGUCCAGAUCAGAGGACUCGGUGAAGACUACAUUAGUGUGUGAAGCAGUUAGAGAACACCUAGUAAGGUCUAUGCUUGUUAUUAUCAUGGUUAGCAUUAACUGGAGCCAUUAGUCACAUCCAGAUUAGCUCUCCCUAGCCCUUCCCCCAUCACAGGCCAGCUACCCCCACCUCUCCUGCUACCCGGUGACACUCUUAACUCUUAUUUCUCUCAUUUCAACUAAACUUUAUGAUCUGUGCCUACGAGCCAGGCCUCAUGGCAUACACCUUGAAUCCCAGCACUCCGGAGGCAGAGGCAGGUGGAUCUGAGUGCAAGGCUAGCCUGGUCUACAUAGGAAGUUCCAGCCCAGCCUGGGCGGCGUGGUAAGACCCUGUCUCAAACUCUUCAAGGCUGUAACAAAUGCAUUUCACGCCAUGGUUAGUAAAUAGCCCACUUAAAAUGAACCAGGUUAAAACCAUAAACCAACAACCCUAGCACUCGGAAGGGCUGAUAACAGAAGACUGUGAACUUCAGGCUAGCCUGAGCAACUUAGUAAGGCUCUCUCAGAAAUGAAAGCCAUCCAAAAGCAGUCAGAUGACACUAACUAUGCGAAAACAUAUCAAGUUACAACACAUGAAACGUAGACGGACCGGGAGGCGGUGGAAAACUAAAACACUCCACACUUGGAAGUGGGCGACAGUCUCAUUCUCACCUGUAAAAUUACUUUUUUUCUAGUCCCUACAACCAGUAAAAACACACUUAGAACCCGGCCAUAUCGCUCAGCCAAUCACUAAACAGACGCUUAGUAUGCACACACUGGCACUGCCUGGCACUGGGCUUGGGCUAGGGUUACAGCAUUUAAAGUGACACCAGCUUCUCCACCGAGCUUACAGUCCGGUGUUGGUGCCGAGCGCACACAUGCGUAUUGUGUUUUAUAAGAGCAUUCUGUUAAUUAUAAAACCCUUUCAACCUCUUACUAAAAUAUAACCUAAUAAAUAAAACAGGGAGACCAUUCCCAACUCUUUGAAAGCGCACGUUUUCUUCCUGUCUCCAGGGGCAGUGUUCUGUUGAAUGGCACACUUGUGCCCAUUCAUUUCUGACCUGCUCAUACCCCUUUGCACACUUAAGAUGGCGAAGACUGUAUUAGACUACCCAAGAAUCAAAUAACUGAAAUUUAAACUGAAGAGUAAUGGCAGUCCCCAGAUCGUUCAAGGUAUGUCUCCAAAGGAGCAUAAAAUUCAUUUAACCUGGCGGCUCACACCUCCCAAACCGGUUGUCUGUGCUCUUUGAAGAGUUUACAGUCUAAUCAAACUGCUUCAUUGCACAUCAAUUAAACGCAGUUCUCUCAGUCCAAGAAGGACCAGCGACUUGAUCUAAAAAGUAUUAGCAUAGCCCAUGACGCAAGGGUGGGUCAGUGCUAGCUCCCAAGAGGUCCGGGGCUGGAGUCCAAGAUCAGCAGGCAGUCCUAGUCACCUGACAAGGGCCCUACUCUGAGAUAAGCACUUGGUGCUUCCUAUCAGCGUGUGCAUUCUCACUAGUAAGGCCUCCAGCCCGCUGCCAUGUAGCUGUACAAAACAGCAGAGCCAUUAUGAAAAAGGAAAAAAAGUUAAUAAAAAAAAAUCUCCCUUUCACUCUGCAAAAUUCACAUGCAAAACCGCAUAAAAUUCACAUGCAAAACCGCGCAAAAUUCACAUGCAAAACCGCGCAAAAUUCACAUGCAAAGCCGCGCAUGCCUCUAAGACAAAGUCUGUGAUCCAGAAGAAACAGAAGAUAAGGUGUUUUGUCAACGGUGAAGGAUUAGUAGGGUGGCACCGCAGGACUGGAUCCUAAGGAGGGCCACGGAAUGAAGGCUCACUACAGAAAAAUACAAACCCUAGGAGAGAGUUUCACCAGCGCAAGGCCUUAGAGCCAAAAUCAAAUGGCCAGAGGACUCUUGGGGACACCCUGUAGAAGGAAGGGGACCCAUGCGCACGCUGAAGCACGCGAGGCCCGGACGUCCAGUCCAGCUGCUGCAGGCGAGCCGGGGAGAGGAUGCACGCUCAGCGCCUGGGACUUGUGGGCCGUGUGCUGGUCCCCAGGCUGCAGGGAAGAUGGGGAGGCAGAAGGGAGAUUCGGGGUGCCGGCACCGCCCCACGCCGGGAGGAGCCCGCGCCGCGCCACCGCCUCAGCGAGCCGCCAUUCAGGGGCCCCGGGACGCGCCGCCGCGCUUAGCUCACAGCCCCCGGCUGCCGCACAUUGUCGCUCCGGCGACCGACGGCCCGCUGGGCUCCACGCCGCGGCCGCCGCU